ACAGCAACAUGGGAUCCAAGCCACAUCUGUGACCUACACCACAGCACACACACGGCAAUGCCGGGUCCUUAACCCACUGAGCAAGGGCAGGGAUCGAACCUGAAACCUCAAGGUUCCUGGUCGGAUUCGUUAACCACUGAGCCACGAUGGGAACUCCAACAAAGAUGUGAAUUUUUUUAAAAAGAAAAAUACACUACAGACAGGUAUGUUUGUCAUUUUGUCAGUUUACAUCUUUGUUCAAAACAAGUUCAAAGGUAUUAAUUCAUUUAUUUAAAAUCAAACAUAUCACCAAGAAAAUCAUAAAUCAGAACAAGCAAAGACUGUUUUGGUCAAAUGAGAAAAAUGCACAAAUAAUCACAUUCAAUUAAUAGGUUGAUUUCUACUAGUUAAUGAAAAUGUUUAGUGUAACAUUCCUGGGAACUGAGCUAAUUAUCAUCUCCAAGACAAAUCAACAAGCGACUAGUGCCUCCACCAAAUCCACUUAUAAAAAUAGAGCUUGCUGUAGAAACAAUUGUCAAUUGGUUGGACAAGCUGAAUACUAUUAAUCCAAGAGUUAAUUAUAAUACAAUUUGUACUCUGUGUUGAAGAUUGCCAAUGAAUUGCUCCAACUGUUGGAUUUCCAGGAUUAAAAAAAAACAAAAAAACCUCAAAAUAUCAUUUACUGAUAACAUCAUUUGUGGGAAUACCACAUCAACUGAGUCCUCGAAUGUAGACUGUUUUUACAUUUUUCCAAAUAAAACUGUAAACAAACUAUAAGGAAAAAGUCCUUGUCUUAUUUUGUUUACUAGAUUUAAAGGAGCUAUAAAAUAACCACAUUAUAAAUAACUCAUUCCAAUCCUUUAUUACAGAGAGAAAUUACUGAAAAUCACAGUCAGUAAACAUAAUAUGAUUGCUCUGUCAAAUAAAACAUUCUCCAACAUACAAACACACAGCAAAACACUCUAACGUAGUAACUAAAACAACAAAUACACAAAAAAAUACUAGAAACGGAGUUCCCACUGUGGCUCAGUGGUAAUGAACCCCACUAGUAUCCAUGAGGACAAGGAUGUGAUCUCUGGCCUCUAUCAGUGGGUUAAGGAUCCGGCAGUGCCGUGAGCUGUGGUGUAGGUCACAGAUGAGCCUCGGAUCUGUGUGGCUGCGGCUGUGGUGUAGGCUGGCAGCUGCAGCUCUGAUUUGACCCCUUGCCUGGGCUUCCAUAUGCCAUAGGCGCAGCCCUAAAAAGAUUAAAAAAAAAAAAAAAAAAAAAAAAAAACCAUAAAGAACAAAUACUGUAUGAUUUCACUUAUACCAGGUAACUAGAAUGGACAAAUUCAUAGAGAGAAGGUAGAACAGAAGCUACCAGGUGUUUGGGGGGAGUGGGGAAUGGGGAGUUAUUGUUUAAGGGGUACAGAGUUUCAGCUUGAGAAUAAUAAAGUUCUGGAGACUGGUAGUGAGGCUUGCACGACACCAUGAAUGCACGUAAUUAAUGCCAUUGACCUGUACACUUUAAAAUGGUUAAAAUAGGAGGAGUUCCCGUCGUGGCACAGUGGUUAACAAAUCUGACUAGGAACCAGGAGGUUGCAGGUUCGAUCCCUGGCCUUUCUCAGUGGGUUAAGGAUCCAGCAUUGCCAUGAGCUGUGGUGCAGGUCGCAGAUGUGGCUUGGAUCUGGUGUUGCUGUGGCUGUGGUGUAGGCCAGCAGCUACGGCUCCAGUUAGACGCCUAGCCUGGGAACCCCCAUAUGCCGUGGGAAGCAGCCCUAGAAAAAAGGGAAAAAGACAAAAAUAAAAUAAAAUAAAGUGGUUAAAAUAGCAAAUUUUAUGUUAUGCAGAUUUUAUUUAAAUUUUUUAAAUGCUAGAAGGCUAACAAUUUUGAAUACUAUCCACCCAUAAGGACUCAGUAAACUCUGAGUUAUAUAAAUAACAGAUGUGAAACACCCUGGAAGUGAAAAGCACUGAUGGUAAACAAGACUUCUCAACUUUGGCACCAUUUUGUUUGGGACCAGUAACUUUGCUUUGCAUAGUAGGAUGUCUACCAGCAUCCCUGGCCUCUUCCCAGUAAAUGUCAGUAUAACUGCCCAUCCAAUUGUGACAACCAAAAAUCUCUCCAGACUUUGCUGAAUGUCUCCGGGGAGACAUGAUCAGACCUAGCUCAGGACUAACUACUGAUUUAGAGGAUUCGGAACUACAUUUUUAGUACAGGCCUGCACAGAGAAUUUUAUAAAGAAAUUGAAAUAUUCUACCUCUUUCCUGUUUAUAGUAUUUCUAUGUUUCUAGUUUCUUAAAAAAAAGGAUAAUAUAUUCCAGUGGGAAAAUUCCUUCAAACUUUAAAGAUUUUAUGUAUUACAUAUAAAAUACAUAUAAAAAUUUAAUAUGACAUACUUCAGGUAUUGUAGAAUCAUUGCAGUAUUCUAAUAUGCAAUAUUCUUUUUAUUUUUUGACUGCACCUGUGGCAUGUGGAAGUUCCCAGGCCAGAGACCCAAGCCACAGCAGUGACAAUGUCCUUAACUGUCAGGCCACCAGAGAACUCCUGAUGUGCAACAUGCUAAUAUUCUAAUUUGUUGUGUAGUCAAAAAAAAAAAAAAAAAAGCAAGGAACAAAACAUAGCUUUCUGGUUUCCCUUUUUUUUAUAUCUUAAAGAAUUGUUUCUUAAUCAAGUUUUUAUAAAACUUAACCUAUAAAAAAUUAGAACCUUAGGAGUUCCUGUCAUGGCUCAGCAGUUAACGAACCCGACUAGUAUCCACGAGGGAUGUGGGUUCAAUCCCUGGCUUCUCUCAGUGGGUUAAGGAUCCGGCAUUGCCAUGAACCAUGGUAUAGGUCACAGGCACAGCUCUGAUCCCAUGUUGCUGUGGUUGUGAUGAAGGCCAGCAGCCACAGCUCCAAUUGGACCCUAGGCUGGGAACCUUCAUAUGCUAUAGGUAUGGCCGUGAAAAGACAAAAAAAGACAAAAAAAAAUUAGAACCUUAACUUAAUAUUACUUUCUUCAAUUAAUUUUACUGAAAGAAAAUAGCACAAUUAGGAAUCAACAAAAGUUUGAUGAAAUCCUCAUGAAUAUUCCCUUAAGUAUUUACCUUAAAAAUUGAAACAAGGAGUUCCCUGGUGGUGCAGUGGAGAAAGGAUCCAGCGGUACUACUGCUGUGGCUCAGGUUGCUGCUGUGGCACAGGUUCAGUCCCUGGCUCAAGAACUUCCACAUGUUGCAGGUACAGCCAAAUAAAUAAAUAAAAAUUGAAAUAACGUUUUUCAAUUUAUGUAAUAUUUGUUAUAUCCAAAAGAAUACAAGUAACAUAAUUAAUUAGCUCUUUCCAAAUGACACUGAGCUCUUCUUAACUUCUGGUUGUUCUUAUAUUUUCUUUUCAAUCUUUAAGCAUAUUAAAAACAGGCUUGUCUGGGAGUUCCUGUUGUGGCUCAGUGGUUAACAAAUCUGAGUAGGAACCAUGAGGUUGUGGGUUCAAUCCCUGGCCUCGCUCAUGGGUUAAGGAUAUGGCAUUGCCAUGAGCUGUGGUGUAGGUUUCAGAUGUGGCUCAGAUCCCAUGUUGCUAUGACUGUGGUGUAGGCUGGCAGCUGUAGCUCCAGUUCAACCCCUAGCCUGGGAACUUCCAUAUGCCACAGGUGUGGCCCUAAAAGGUAAUAAAUAAAUAAAUAUGUGUGUUUAUAUUAAUUUUUUAUAGACAUAUAUGAGUUUUUUAAAAAGGGCCAGCCGAAAUUAGUAAAUAUUUUUGGCUUGUGAGUCACAUAGCUAUUUGUGUCUCAUGUUUUUCUUUUUCCUUUUUCUUAGCAAUUCUUCAGAAAUGCAAAAAACUCAAUCUUAAAAUAAAAAAUGCAAAAAAGCAUUUUUAAUUUGUGGUUCCUACAAAAACAGGCCUAGGAGCCAGAUUUGGCAUGGAAGCCAUAUUAUUUUGCCCGCUUCUGACUUAAAACAAAAACUAUAACACUAUAUUGUUGAAUUUACAACAUUUAUAGAUGUAACAAAGAUAAUAACAACAGCAGAGAUGAAACAAUCUUUCCAGUUUUUCCAGGACUAAGGGAGUUGCCCAAACACAGAACUUUCAGUGCUAAAACCAGGAAAUUCCCAGGCAAACAGGAGAUAAGCUGAUCACUCUAAUUAUAGCACAAAGGUUAGGAGAAGUAAAGGGAACUAGAUAGUUGAAAACUCCCUAUAUUUUUCCUGAAAUAAUCCGAUAUUGUCUCUUAAAAGAUUGCAAUAAAUUAUUUUGUUACAUAAUGUAAUUUCUACAGCAAUCACACAUACAAAAAUAAAGGUAAAAGGCCAAUAGAGGAAUCAAAACAUAAUAUCAAAAACAUGUGACUAAGACAAAACAGAGAAGAAAAAGACAAACAUAAGAUAAAAAGCUGGGAGUUAGAGUUCCCAUUGUGGUAUAGUGGAAACGAAUCCAACUAGGAACCAUGAGGUUGCAGGUUCGAUCCCUGGCCUCACUCAGUGGGUUAAGGAUCCAGCGUUGCCGUUGCCGAGAGCUAUGGUGUAAGUUGCAGACACAGCUUGGAUCCGGCGCUGCUGUGGCUCUGGCAUAGGCUGGCGGCAACAGCUCUGAUUCAACCUCUAGCCUGGGAACUUCCAUAUGCCGCAGGUGCGGCUUUAAAAAAAGACGAAAGACAAAAAAAAAAAAAAAAAAAAAA
rnacentral:lncRNA from 1 species